UACGAAGGGGGCUAGCGUUGUUCGGAAUUAUUGGGCGUAAAGGGUGCGUAGGUGGCCUGGUAAGUCGGAUGUGAAAUCCCGGGGCUUAACCCCGGAACUGCAUUCGAUACUGCCAGGCUAGAGUACUGGAGAGGAGAUUGGAAUUUACGGUGUAGCAGUGAAAUGCGUAGAUAUCGUAAGGAAGACCAGUGGCGAAGGCGGAUCUCUGGACAGUUACUGACACUGAGGCACGAAGGCCAGGGGAGCAAACGGG
rnacentral:rRNA from 1 species